rnacentral:rRNA from 1 species
UGGGGAAUAUUGGACAAUGGGCGCAAGCCUGAUCCAGCCAUGCCGCGUGAGUGAUGAAGGCCCUAGGGUUGUAAAGCUCUUUCACCGGUGAAGAUAAUGACGGUAACCGGAGAAGAAGCCCCGGCUAACUUCGUGCCAGCAGCCGCGGUAAUACGAAGGGGGCUAGCGUUGUUCGGAAUUACUGGGCGUAAAGCGCACGUAGGCGGACAUUUAAGUCAGGGGUGAAAUCCCGGGGCUCAACCCCGGAACUGCCUUUGAUACUGGGUGUCUAGAGUUCGAGAGAGGUGAGUGGAAUUCCGAGUGUAGAGGUGAAAUUCGUAGAUAUUCGGAGGAACACCAGUGGCGAAGGCGGCUCACUGGCUCGAUACUGACGCUGAGGUGCGAAAGCGUGAGGAAGCAAAGUCAGGAUUAGCAUGACCCUGGCUAGUCCACGCAGUAAACGAUGGAAGCCAGCUGUCGGCAAGUUUACUUGUCGGUGGCGCAGCUAACGCAUUAAGCUUCCCGCCUGGGGAGUACGGUCGCAAGAUUAAAACUCAAAGGAAUUGAC